rnacentral:rRNA from 1 species
AUUGAACGCUGGCGGCAUGCCUUACACGUGCAAGUCGAACGGUAACAGGUCUUCGGAUGCUGACGAGUGGCGAACGGGUGAGUAAUACAUCGGAACGUGCCUAGUAGUGGGGGAUAACUACUCGAAAGAGUGGCUAAUACCGCAUGAGAUCUACGGAUGAAAGCAGGGGAUCGCAAGACCUUGUGCUACUAGAGCGGCCGAUGGCAGAUUAGGUAGUUGGUGGGAUAAAAGCUUACCAAGCCGACGAUCUGUAGCUGGUCUGAGAGGACGAGCAGCCACACUGGGACUGAGACACGGCCAAGACUCCUACGGGAGGCAGCAGUGGGGAAUUUUGGACAAGGGGCGAAAGCCUGAUCCAGCAAUGCCGCGUGCAGGAUGAAGGCCUUCGGGUUGUAAACUGCUUUUGUACGGAACGAAAAGCCCCGGGUUAAUACCCUGGGGUCAUGACGGUACCGUAAGAAUAAGCACCGGCUAACUACGUGCCAGCCGCCGCCGUAA